GGUUUGAUCUUGGCUCAGAUUGAACGCUGGCGGCAUGCCUUACACAUGCAAGUCGAACGGCAGCAUGAUCUAGCUUGCUAGAUUGAUGGCGAGUGGCGAACGGGUGAGUAAUACAUCGGAACGUGCCCUGUAGUGGGGGAUAACUAGUCGAAAGAUUAGCUAAUACCGCAUACGACCUGAGGGUGAAAGUGGGGGACCGCAAGGCCUCAUGCUAUAGGAGCGGCCGAUGUCUGAUUAGCUAGUUGGUGGGUAAAGGCCCACCAAGGCGACGGAUCAGUAGCUGGUCUGAGAGGACGAUCAGCCACACUGGGACUGAGACACGGCCCAGACUCCUACGGGAGGCAGCAGUGGGGAAUUUUGGACAAUGGGCGAAAGCCUGAUCCAGCAAUGCCGCGUGUGUGAAGAAGGCCUGG
rnacentral:rRNA from 1 species